AGGGUUUUUGGGCUGUUAGUUGGUAGAGCACUGCCUUCGGGAGGCAGGGGCCGGAGGUUCGAAUCCUCUCACCCCGACCA
rnacentral:tRNA from 1 species